rnacentral:rRNA from 1 species
AUUGAACGCUGGCGGCAUGCCUUACACAUGCAAGUCGAACGGCAGCACGGGAGCAAUCCUGGUGGCGAGUGGCGAACGGGUGAGUAAUAUAUCGGAACGUGCCCGGUCGUGGGGAUAACGUAGCGAAAGCUACGCUAAUACCGCAUACGAUCUACGGAUGAAAGCGGGGGGAUCGCAAGACCUCGCGCGAUUGGAGCGGCCGAUAUCAGAUUAGGUAGUUGGUUGAGGUAAAGGCUCACCAAGCCGACGAUCUGUAGCUGGUCUGAGAGGACGACCAGCCACACUGGGACUGAGACACGGCCCAGACUCCUACGGGAGGCAGCAGUGGGGAAUUUUGGACAAUGGGCGCAAGCCUGAUCCAGCAAUGCCGCGUGCAGGAUGAAGGCCU